UGUAGCCUUCAUGUUUCCUAUUAGCA
rnacentral:piRNA from 1 species